AAUUAGGCUCGUCUGUCGUCCUACCGAAAUUGAGUCGUUUCCCUUUCUAAUAAAAAUUAGAUAAUUUAAAACUCUAAUUAACAAAACUAAUUACACCCCUUAUCUUUUAUUAAUCAACUCCAUUAAUCAAUUGGGCUACCUCAUUCAACUCAUUUCCGCACCAUCACUUUCUCUCUCUCUAUUUUCUUCGAUCAAACCCUUUCCAACACUCUAACCCAUUUUUGCAGUAAGCAGUCGCCCCUCUCUUCCCCACAUCUCGCCGUCGAUGCUCAUUCUCCGGUCUGGUGCCGCCCUCCUCUCUCACAUUCUAUUCUCUUCACUCUAUCUUUCUUUAUCUUUAUUGAACAUCCACACAAGUUGACCUUUAGAUCUUUGUCUAAAACUGCCGACACGGCUCAGCCGCCGCCGCCUCUGGAAGACUGGUGAGCAGCGCCGCCUUACUCCACCUGCUCUCAUUGUCUUCCUCUGAACUCUUCUCUCAAUUUCAGCGAACUACCAAAUCGAAGCCUGGUCCCCUGUUCUCUUCGAUUCCGACCUUCCUCACCUAAGAUUGAAACAGCCGCCCUCUCUGCACCGCAAUCGCUGACGCCACCGUUGGGGGACUGGCGGAGAAGGUGGCGGAGAACAUGCUUCGGAUAAUUUUGAAAAGAUGAAGAUGGUCGGAGUUACAAGUGCCAGUGAUGAGGUGGGUGACGGCGGUGAAGCAAUAUCUGUGUUUUUAGGUGCCGGAGUUGCAGGGGCAAUGAUGAAGAUCUGUUUUCAAUUUAUUAAGAAUUAAAAAAAAAAAAUUCAGAUUUUUAAUUUUAAAAAUAAUUAAUAAAUCAUAAAUAAAAAUAAUUUUAGAUUAAUUAAUUUAAUUUUGACUUAAUAAUAAUUUAAAAUAAUUAAUUAUAUAAAUAAUCACUUAACCACAAAUCUACAAACAAACUUAAACAACUAAAUAUUAGCUCUUAAUUUCCAUGCCCAAAAGAAACGCUUUAACUUUGGCGGGACGGAGGGGUAAUAAUAUAUACUUAUACAAAUUCACUAUUUAAUUGAAUAAUUUAUAGUUCCCAAAUUAAAUACUCUAUAGCCCAUAAUCCUCAAAUUAAGUAUUUUACUGUUCAAUAUUUCAAGUCAUUUAAAAAAAAGUCUCCUUGGGAUGGCCUAGUGGUUGGGGUGGUUGCCUGUUGUCCAAGAGGUCACAGGUUCGAGUACUCUCGGCCACAAUAACCACUAGGUGGGGUGUGUGUGUGGUUUGUAUUAUUUAUAAUGUAAUUUCAUAAAAAAAAAAGUAUUUUACUGUUCAUAGCCCUCAAAAAAUGUGAUUUCAACAAUUUCAAUGGAGCAUUCACUCCAUCCCCAGUCAUUGCUACAACUUCACCAGAAUCCUUGAGCAAUCUUACUAUAUCUUAUUUUUGCAUGUUGAAACUAAUUAAGGCAAUAAACAAUCAAAGAUCAUUCUCUACAAUCAAGGAUCAAGGAUCAAGCAAUCAGAAUCUUUUUUCUUUCUUUCCUUAUGUAACUCUUUUCCAACCCUAUAAAGGGUUCUUGUAAUCUACAACAAAAGAUAAGAAAUACAAACAAAACAGAUUCUCAGCCUACUCUCUCUUACAAUGUUUUGCAACCUUUUUUUUCUCUAUGUCAAUACCAUGUUUCUUCAUGGUAUCAGAGCAGGUUAGACAAUCAUAGGAACUCAAAAAAUUAAUUCAUCACUGUUCUAUAUACCUUUUCCAAACCCUAUACAUCGAUCAAAAGUAUCCUUUUUUUUCUUCUUCUGCAAAAUCCAAAAUAAAAAUAUCAGGGGAGAUACAAACCACAAAUUCCACAAACACAAACAAUGAGUUAACCCAACAAAUCGCCGAUUUGAUGCGAAACUCCGACAACGUCAUGCUCGAAUUUAAACUUGACGGCAACAACUACGCUCUAUGGCCUCGCCUCAUGAAGGUGGCCAUAGGCAGCAGAGGCAGGUCUAGGCAUAUUACCGGACUUGCCACCACCUACUGCCCUACUCUACGGCUGGAAGGCCGUCCGCAGCACACCACCGCCGGCAGAAUCCCUCAAUCGCGCUUAGGAAAUCCCUCAUCGCUAAAAAAAAAGACAAAUCAAAGCUCUAUUGCACCCACUGUGGCAUGAAUAAACAUACCAAGGAGAUGUGUUUCCAACUCGUCGGUUACCCGGAGUGGUGGGAAGACAACCACAAAAUCGCAAAAGGGAAAGUGGCGAGUGGCAUUGGUAACUGCAGUGAAGAAGGUCAGGAACCAACCGGAGCGACAGCGGUGGGCGCGAGAAUAGCCGCGGUGGCCACGGGACCAGCGUUCUUGGCAGGGCUGAAUGGAGGGGACGAUUGUGAAGGGGAGGCGGCUGGUGUAAAAAGGGGUGACUCAAAAUUAGCUAUAGUUCUUUUCAAUAUUUGCAAAGUUUACCCUAUUUCUUACAUUUUGCCCCCCUAGAGUCCGAGAAAUCACAAAAGUUACAAAAUCUACCCCAUGUUAUGCAAACUGCCCCCCUAGACUCUCAGAAAUUACAAAAUUGCCCUAAUCUUCUACAUAAUAAUAAAAUCAGUCCCCAAUUAUGUAGAAAUUCCCUAAAUGUUUCUGAUGCAUAUCAAACCUCUUGUGAUAAUAGGGAUAGAGAUAAAGGGUGGAUCUUUGAUUGUGGAGCUACUGAUACGAUGACGUUUGAUAAAACUGAUAUUAUUAAACCAUCGACAUCAUACCGAACACAUGUUCAAACUGCUAGUGGUGACUUGACUUCUGUUGAAGGAGCCGGAUAUCAGGACGCAUGGGAUUAUUAGGCGUGGCACUGAGCGGGAUGGAUUGUACUAUGUGGAUGAGAUAGCUCAACAAGGCAAGGUGAUGCUGGCUCAUGGAACUGCUAACCGGGAAGCUUGGCUUUGGCAUCGUCGGUUAGGGCAUCCUUCCACGGGUUACCUUAAGAUUUUAUUCUCAAACUUAGUGCAGAAGGAAAAUUUAUCUUGUGAAACCUAUGUUUUGGCUAAAAGCCACAGACAGUCUUUCAAACCCAAUAAUACUAAAGUUAAUUUGAUUUUUUUAUUUA